UACGUAGGGGGCCAGCGUUGUCCGGAAUUACUGGGCGUAAAGCGCACGCAGGCGGUUUGGAAAGCGGCGGGUGCAAUACCGGGGCUCAACUCCGGCACCGCUCGCCGAACUACCAGACUGGAGCACGGGAGAGGGCAGUGGAAUUCCCGGUGUAGCGGUGGAAUGCGUAAAUAUCGGGAGGAACACCAGUGGCGAAGGCUGCUGCCUGGAACGUUGCUGACGCUGAGGUGCGAAAGCCAGGGGAGCGAACGGGAUUAGAUACCCCCGUAGUCC
rnacentral:rRNA from 1 species